rnacentral:rRNA from 1 species
UGGUAGUNCACGCCCUAAACGAUGUCGAUUAGCUGUUGGGCAGCAUGACUGCUUAGUAGCGAAGCUAACGCGUGAAAUCGACCGCCUGGGGAGUACGGUCGCAAGAUUAAAACUCAAAGGAAUUGACGGGGACCCGCACAAGCGGUGGAUGAUGUGGAUUAAUUCGAUGCAACGCGAAGAACCUUACCUGGUCUUGACAUGGACGGAACCCUCCAGAGACGGAGGGGUGCCUUCGGGAGCCGUAACACAGGUGCUGCAUGGCUGUCGUCAGCUCGUGUCGUGAGAUGUUGGGUUAAGUCCCGCAACGAGCGCAACCCUUGUCAUUAGUUGCCAUCAUUAAGUUGGGCACUCUAAUGAGACUGCCGGUGACAAGCCGGAGGAAGGUGGGGAUGACGUCAAGUCCUCAUGGCCCUUAUGACCAGGGCUUCACACGUCAUACAAUGGUCGGUACAGAGGGUAGCCAAGCCGCGAGGUGGAGCCAAUCACACAAAACCGAUCGUAGUCCGGAUUGCACUCUGCAACUCGAGUGCAUGAAGUCGGAAUCGCUAGUAAUCGCAGGUCAGCAUACUGCGGUGAAUACGUUCCCGGGUCUUGUAC